GCUCUCUUCUCCAGUUUUAUUUGUCACACUUUCAAUAUGACUCCCAGGACUCUAUUAGCUACUCGAUCUUGGGCAUGUUUCCUAACCUUCUAUGCCUCCGUUUCUUCAUAUGUGAAAUGGAAAUAAUGAUAGUGCCCGGCUGCUGGCAUGAGGCCUAGGUGAGUUGUAAUACAGAGUCUUUAGAAUGGUGCUGGGGAUCUGCUAAAUGUGCUGUCCUUACUACCUCUAGUGUGUGAUUUUUGUCAUUCAAAAUAUGAAUAUUUUCACAUUAAUGCAGUGAACAGUUGAAAGAUGAGAACCUGGGAGCCAGAGUCCAGGGGUUCCAGGGAUCCCUUCUGCUUGUCAAGCUGUAGGGCAUGGCUGCCCGCUUCCUGGUCUUGAGGCCGCACAUGUGGCUGGGAUGGCUCCUGGCGAUCAGCCAGGAGGCAGUGCUGUGGGUGGUGAUGGAGGAGGCAGACCACCUCCAGGAUAGGUCCAGGACUCUUCCACCCUCGUGGACAGCUCAUGCCUUCCCUUUCAGACUAUGGGAUGGGUGUACACGUGAAUUUGCUCCACCCCUCUGACCUUUACUCUAAUUGGCUCCUGUGCAUUAUAUAAGCUGUGUGUACUUCCUUAUUAAAGGAGAUCCUGCUUUAACUGUUCUCCCUGGCACGUCUGAUUGUCCUCCCGGGAGCGAGGGCUGGGUGUGGGCGGCCAGUCGACCUUUACCUUUCUUGGCUCGUCUUGGUCGGGGCAUGCUUUUCCUGCUUCUCCCGAUGGUCAGGAAGAGAUGGGGGGGGGGGCUAAAAACCCCGACAUCAAGCAAUUAUGAUCCAUGCUUUUUUUAUCAGGCCAUGCCUGGUGAUCAUAUUGGAGGGCUCUGUAGGCAUGCUAGGUGGGGACUGCAGGUUUGUUUCAAAAGGCACUGCUUAGGUUAAGGCCAUCCUUACAAUAAGCUUUUAACACCUGAGAGAGAAGCACACUUACGCUCUAUCCUUAGCACCAGUUGGGGACCAAGUAGCAGCAAAUUUGGCAACUGUGUGGUAGUCACUGGGUUUGGGCUGCUAUAACAGAACAUCACACAUGGCGCUCCUUAAACAGCAAGCAUUUGUUUCAUACAGUAUCACCAUCUAUCCUAGCUGGUGACCUAUGCUGGGUUCACAAAAUCUGACUAUUCCAAUAACUUUAGAAAAUGACAAAGAAAGCACGCAACCACACAGAAGUACCUUUUCAAUAAUCCGGGGACAGAUCUGAGACCUUGAGGGUCUGUGGAAAGAGAGAGCCACUGGAAUUCUAUAGCGGACACACAAGGGGAGAUUCCAUGGAACAUUCUAUCCCAAAAAGGGCAAAGUAGUAGGACUCCAAAGGAACAGGUGAGUGUAACCCAACCCCACGGGGUAACACCUACUCCUGGAGCCAUGCCUCAUUAUCCCAGGGGAGGUAAAGCCCAAGUGACUAUGGAACACAAUAAUUGUUCAGUGCCACCCUCCCCACUCCCACCCCCACCCCCCCACCCCCCGCACCAGGAUUUAAAGGCGUGUUCAUCCAGGACAGCUCCUGACAACACAGCUCUGGGGGCUGGGAAAUCCUAGGUCAAGGUCAAGGUGGUCAAGGUUGUCAAGGUGGUCAAGGUGUCCGAUGAGGGCCCAAUGUUUGGUUUAGAGAUGCCCAUCUUCUCACUGUGCUCUCAUAUGCUGGAAAGAGCAAGAAAGCUCUCUGGGUUCCUAUUAGAAGUGCACUAAUUAUAUUCACGAGGGCUUCACCUCAGGAACUCAUUCUUUCCCGAGGCCCAUCCCUAUAGCCAUCCCACUGGUGGUCAGGAUUUCAGGGUAUUCUGUGGGGACACAAGCAAUUGCUCCGUGGCAGUCAUGUUUCCUAGGGUACUGCAGACAGGUCUUCAUGCCCGAAGGCACACUGGUACUGAGGAAAACAUAGAGCUCUGGUGACCUCUCCAGACUCACACCAAUGGCAGUGAAUUCAAUGCCCUGCACCUUUUGAGCAAAUAACUCACUUGUUUGCAGUGUGAGUUAUACAAGUUUUUGUUUUUGUUGUUGUUGUUGUUUUUGAUGCCUCAGCUUGAAAUUUGGUGGACACAGGAAACAUCCUCCUAGAGGAUGAAUCUGUCCUCCACUGAACCAGGUCAUCCUGGAUAAAUGACCUGUCCCUCCCUCAAGGAGCCUGCCUAUGGUCUACUUGCCAGCCUCCCCACCCCCUCCUUAACCAAGAUGAUCAUUCCAGUAGCAGGGUGACAAUGCACAGUCAGAACACAGAUGAACCUGAUAGAACAUUCUUUAUUUCUCUAUGAAUUAAUUCAGUGUGGCCCUUAGAGCCAUGUCUUCAUGUCCUUGGCAUAGAUUAGAGUUCUGACUCAGAAUUUACCCCUUCCCUCAGAGAACAUUACACUAGAUCAUUGCCAUGACUUUAGAGUGUGCAAUCUUAUGUUCAUGUCCUACUCUGUCACCCCUGUCCCCCUGAGGAAGGAUUGUCCCACCUGCUCUGUCUCCAUCUAACAUCUUGACUUCUGGUGCAGACGUUCCUAGCCAAGACAACCUGUGGUCUGCUGUCAAUGAAGUGUUCACACAGGGAAUUUCACAUCCCAAUCACACACACACACACAGAGAGAGAGAGAGAGAGAGAGGGAAUUGGAUCCACAGAUUGGAUCCUGGGAUCUCCCCACCUUGGAUGUGGCCCUCUGGAGAUGCUGGUCUCCUGAGAUCCAGCCAAGUCCAGCACGAGGUCUGCAGCUCAGGGUGAACACCCAGAUCUCAGGACACAAAGCAUCAAUGCUGAUCAUCUUGCCCUCAAACCUCAGUGACUUCCAAGCCUGCCUUCCAGGGUCCUGGGAACCUUGUUAGAUAUUCCCCAGAGCCUUGGGAGGAUAGAGCGUAAGUGUGCUUCUCUCUCAGGUGUUAAAAGCUUAUUGUAAGAAUGGACUUAACCUAAGAAGGGCCUUAGCUUAAGCAACUCCAUUUUGAAAUAAACCUACAGUCCCCACCUAGCAUGCCUACAGAGCCUACCAGUAUGAUCAUCAGGCAUGGUCUGAUAAAACAAGUCACUUUCCAUAACGCUGAUGAAACUCAGAGUAAAGUCUCUGUCAUUUGCCUUCACCCUGAUAAAGACAAAAGAUGAGAGAUCAGGACGAAACCACCAGACCAGAUGGCUUGACCUCAGAACAAAAGACGUCACUGAGAAACCUGGGAACAGCUGAUUGGGAUUGAAAUAGUGGUCAGAAACCCCAAAAUUUAGCAUAAGCGAUGGGGCAAAUGAACAGAUAUUCAGCCAGCCGACACUGAUGCCCUCAUGCCGAAGAGCCUGAUGAGGACCUGGACUGACAUCCCAACUCCUCUCGUCAUUUUCCUGAUCCUCUGCAUCGUCCUCACCACUCUCAAACUCUACAGCCACAUCUUGACCCUGGUGAGAUCGGCGACUUCCCCGUAUGACCCUCUCCUCAGCUGGCCGUCAGCUCCACAGCAGGAGAAGCCUCCAUUGGUGCCUGACCUGAUCACCACGGUCUGAGUGAGUGGGCAUCUGCUGGACUUAAGGCUUGAGGCUCGAGACUUUAGAUCUGGCACAUGGGCUUAGCAUGCAGAGGGAAUGUCUGUCAUGAGCCUUCAUGAUAAGGUGUGUUUGCAGUGCUUAGAAUUAAGCUAGAAUUGUUUGCUGUCAUUAUGUCUCUUGCAGUGCCCAGCAUUAAGGAUUGUCGUUUUCUUGAUUAAGAUCCUCUAGAGUGGAGUUGUAUUGAGUGAUGGAGUGAAUAAAGCAUGGGAAAGGC
rnacentral:lncRNA from 1 species